rnacentral:rRNA from 1 species
GUUUGAUCCUGGCUCAGAACGAACGCUGGCGGCGUGCUUAACACAUGCAAGUCGCGUGCGCAGUUGCCGUAGCAAUGCGGUGAUAGGCGCACGGCGCACGGGUGCGUAACACGUGGGCAAUCUACCCUUUGAUGGGGAAUAACCCGCCGAAAGGCGGGCUAAUUCCGCAUAAGAUUCUUUGAACCUCGGUUCGAAGAUUGAAAGCAGUAAUGCGUCGAAGGAGGAGCCCGCGCCCGAUUAGCUAGUUGGUAGGGUAACGGCCUACCAAGGCUAUGAUCGGUAGCUGGUCUGAGAGGAUGAUCAGCCACACUGGAACUGAGACACGGUCCAGACUCCUACGGGAGGCAGCAGUGGGGAAUCUUGCACAAUGGGCGAAAGCCUGAUGCAGCGACGCCGCGUGGGGGAUGAAGCUUCUCGGAGUGUAAACCCCUUUCGACUGGGAAGAAUGCCUCGCAAGAGGACUGACGGUACCAGUAUAAGAAGCCCCGGCUAACUACGUGCCAGCAGCCGCGGUAAGACGUAGGGGGCCAGCGUUGUUCGGAAUUACUGGGUGUAAAGGGUUCGUAGGCGGUGUGGCAAGUCGGGAGUGAAAUCUCUGGGCUCAACCCAGAGGCUGCUUCCGAAACUGCUGUGCUUGAGUGUGAGAGAGGCUCGUGGAAUUGCAGGUGUAGCGGUGAAAUGCGUAGAUAUCUGCAGGAACACCCGUGGCGAAAGCGGCGAGCUGGAUCACAACUGACGCUGAGGAACGAAAGCUAGGGGAGCAAACAGGAUUAGAUACCCUGGUAGUCCUAGCCCUAAACGAUCAGGACUUGGGGUGCCGCCCGUUCGGGCGUCGUCCCGGAGCUAACGCGUUAAGUCCUGCACCUGGGGAGUACGGUCGCAAGACUGAACUCAAAGGAAUUGACGGGGGCCCGCACAAGCGGUGGAACAUGUGGUUCAAUUCGACGCUACGCGAGGAACCUUACCUGGGCUCGAAAUGCUUAGGACCAGCUGUAGAAUACGGCCUCCCGCAAGGGACCUAAGUAUAGCGCUGCAUGCUGUCGUCAGCUCGUGCCGUGAGGUGUUGGGUUAAGUCCCGCCAACGAGCGCCAACCCCUGCACGCAGUUACUACUCG